rnacentral:rRNA from 1 species
UACGAGGGGGGCAAAUGUUGUUCGGAAUCACUGGGCGUAAAGGGAGCGUAGGCGGGUUUUUAAGUUGGAUGUUUAACCCCGGGGCCCAACCCCGGAUCGGCAUCCAAAACUGGGAAUCUUGAAUAGGGGAGAGGUCAGUGGAAUUGGAGGUGUAGCGGUGGAAUGCGUAGAGAUCUCCAAGAACACCAGUUGCGAAGGCGGCUGACUGGACCCAUAUUGACGCUGAGGCUCGAAAGCAUGGGGAGCAAACAGG